rnacentral:rRNA from 1 species
GACGAACGCUGGCGGCGCGCCUAACACAUGCAAGUCGAACGGAGAAAGCAUUUCGGUGUUUUCUUAGUGGCGGACGGGUGAGUAACGCGUGAGGAACCUGGCCUUUAGUGGGGGAUAGCGUCUGGAAACGGACGGUAAUACCGCGUAACGUAUUUGGGUGACAUCACCCGGAUACCAAAGGAGAAAUCCGCUGAAGGAUGGCCUCGCGUCCGAUUAGGUAGUUGGUGAGGUAACGGCCCACCAAGCCUGCGAUCGGUAGCCGGAUUGAGAGAUUGGCCGGCCACAUUGGGACUGAGACACGGCCCAGACUCCUACGGGAGGCAGCAGUGGGGGAUAUUGCACAAUGGAGGAAACUCUGAUGCAGCGACGCCGCGUGAGGGAAGAAGGCCCUCGGGUUGUAAACCUCUGUCUUCCGGGACGAAGAAAAUGACGGUACCGGAAGAGGAAGCCACGGCUAACUACGUG